rnacentral:lncRNA from 1 species
UGUUUUUGUGUGAAAGUUUAAGUAUGAAAGAAGAGUGUGUGUAGGCUAGACUAUGACAGAGAAUAUUGAUUGGUUUCUUCAGUCUUCCUUACUGUCUUCUAACAUAUCUUCCAAUUCUGCAGAAACUGGAAAGUUAAGAACUCCACUUCUUAGAUUCUAUUGCUGCUGGAGUUCCAUAAGGGAUUUAGGGUCUGCCAAUUAGGUGCACCCAUGUGAGAUUUAUAAGAUUCACAGCUUGAGUUUCAUAUUGCUUCCAAGAUUCCUGAGGAAUAGUUCUGACCAGGAAUUUCUUUUUAUCUUCCUCAUGUAUAUAAAUACCCAGAAGUGGAAUUGCCGGCUCGUAUGGUUGCUCUAUUUUUAAUUUUUUGAGGAAUUUCCAUACUGUUUUCCAUAGUGGCUGCACCAAUUUACAUCCCCACGACGGUUUCUUUUUCUCCACAUCCUUGCCGACAUUUGUCACCUCGCAUCUGUCAGAAUGGCUCUCAUCGAAAAGAUGACCUCAUUUUAUUUUUAAAAUAUGAUAACUAUAGGAAAAGCAAGAAGAAAUAGGCAGAAAUGCACU